GCUACGGGAGGCAGCAGUGGGGAAUAUUGCGCAAUGGGCGAAAGCCUGACGCAGCGACGCAGCGUGAGGGAUGAAGGUCUUCGGAUCGUAAACCUCCGUCAGCAGGGAAGAACGGUCACUGUGCUAAUCAGCAGUGAAUUGACGGUACCGGCAAAGGAAGCACCGGAUAACUCCGUGCCAGCAGCCGCGGUAAUACGGGGGGUGCGAGCGUUAAUGGGAAUUAAUGGGCGUAAAGCGCUCGUAGGCGGUAUGUCAGAGCAAGGGUGAAAGCCCCGCGCUCAACGUGGGAACUGCCUUUGAAACUGGCAAACUGGAGUGUGUGAGAGGAUAGUGGAAUUUGAGGUGUAGGAGUGAAAUCCGUAGAUAUCUGGAGGAACAUCAGUGGCGAAGGCGACUAUCUGGCACAUAACUGACGCUGAGGAGCGAAAGCGUGGGUAGCAAACAGGAUUAGAUACCCUAGUAGUC
rnacentral:rRNA from 1 species